rnacentral:lncRNA from 1 species
UGCGGGGGAAAGAGCGAGUCCGGCGCAUGCGCACUGACAGCCUGGUCCAGCUGCUGGGCUGUGCGCAGGCGCGGUGAGGUGCGCGCGGGAACCCAGUGGUGGUUUGACUUUGGCCCCGGAGAUGUCGUGUGGAUGCCGGUGGCUGGACUGACCCGCAGGGUCGGUCCGGUGAGGAGAGUACGUCGUGAGGCAGGUGUGGUGUCGUGGCUCUCGAGACCUGAAGGACCUCGUCCCGACCCUCGCUGUCUGUGGCGCGGACGCCGAGCCGUUCCGCGGACUGCGGUGGAGUGCGGGGGUCUGGGGACGCGGCGGCCGGGCGGUGGAGUCGGCUUUUCAGAAAGUCCUCAGCCCGCUCCGCACACGCGCUCUCUCCUCCGAGGGUGUCAGUGAUGUACACUAAUGUGAACGAAUCCAGUAAAAAGAGUGGCUUGAAAAGUAACCAGCAUGAAUAACAUGGUAUCAUCUACGGAAAAAUCCACUCCAGCUUCAGAAUACCUGGCUUAAAAAGAACUUUCAUAAUGGACCCAUUUCAUGGGAUUGUUUUAUCCUGCAUUCUUGGGGUCUUAGACUGCUUACCUAGAGUUUUAAGAUCUAUGUGAACUAACUCUUCUUUUGGUAAGUUAAUAAUGAAACAAAAUAGUAUCCAAGCUAAAUCAACUAUUGGAUGUGUUUUAUUAUUUUUUGUUAUGUUUUUUUGACACUUGUACAUUGUGAAGAAGUAACUGAGCAAAAAUUCUACAUAGUAUGUUCACAACUCAUUUUGAAUAUUGUGUGUUUUUUAUAAAAAUUACCUGUCUUUAUGUAUAAUUGCAGAAUUUUGAGGUAUGUUUAUUAAAGUCCUUCCAGGGAUAUGUUGUACUGUUAGAUUGCAGGUUAAGGGGAAGCUAUAGAAUCCUUUUUACCUUUGACAGUUGUGCUUUUAUAUACAACAUAAUGUGAACAGCCAAUGUAAAUUUUUAAAAUUUGUAGUUAUAUUUAUCUCUGUGCUGUGCACAUUUUUUCUCACUUUC